AUAUAUUAUAAAUAUAUAAUUAAUUAAAUGUUUUAUAAAUGAUAAAAAAAAAAAAAAAAAGUAAAAUCAUUGCUUUUAUAUUGAUAUAAAUAUUAUUUUUAUAACUAAGGUUGUAAGUUAUUUUAUAGGUUUGUAGGAGGAAUAUUUAUUAAAAUUAGUUAAAUUUGUGCCAGCAUCUGCGGUUAGACUAAAAAUUUAAUUAAUAUUUAUUAGAGUUUAUGAAAUGGUAAUUAAUGAAAUAUUAUUUGGUGAAAUAAUUAUUUGAGUGAUUAAUUAUGUUAAUUAAUAUAGUUUUAAUAAAAGCAGGAUUAGAUACCCUGUUAUUUUAAUUUGCGUUUUUUCUAAGUAUUAAUGUUAAAUUUAAAAGAUUUGGCGGCUAAGAUAAAUUAAAGGAGUUUGUUUAUUAAUUUGAUGUGGCUCAAUUUAUUUUACUUGUUUUAUUUAGUAUACCGUCACUUAGUUAGUUUAUAAUUAAUUAACUAUCUAAAGGAUUUAAGGAUGUUAGAUCAAGGUGCAGAUAUAAAUAAGGUUAAAUUAACUACAAUAAGAUAUUAUUAUACUUAAUUUUUUUAAUAUAUAAUUGUAGGUGGAUUUAAUUGUAAUUAAAAUAACGUGAAAUUUAUUUUAGUGUACAAAUUGCCCGUCAUUCUCUAUGAGACAAGUCGAAACAAAGUAGGGUUAUCGGAAGUUGAACCUA
rnacentral:rRNA from 1 species